AUUUUUUCAGAUGGUAUUCACAAUUUCUUCUAAACUCUUGAUCUCUGAACAUGUAUCAUUUUCACUCGGAUAAUGCAAUAAUUUUAAAUUCUCAGGGAUUGCAUUCUGAAUGAAGUUUUACUAUGUCAAAAAUAAUUUGCAAUUGUCUUGUUGAACAUUUGUUGUUCAAAUAGAGAUUGUAAAAUUGGUAGCAUCCUAAACAUUGAUAUUUGAUGAA
rnacentral:misc_RNA from 1 species